UCUUUAAAAUAUUUAAUAAAAAUGAAAGUAUUCUUCAAAUGUUCUGUGCCAUUUAAUUAACAAAAAGGGGGUCAAAGACUGGGCAUUUGAGUAACAUAACAAAAGAGAGUAAGUGCUUAUAUUUAAUUGUUGGUUUCAAUGAGUGCCUCUUGUAGUGAAAAGUGAAGGUUUGCUACUGGGCAAGGACUGGGCCAAGGUCAAGACACCUUGAGAGAAACCCCAACAGUGGGUCUUGGAAUGAUAUCUACAUGAAUCGAAGUUAAAAGUUAGCACAAUUUCUACAAAACUCUUCAAGGAGAUGCAAAAUGACAAUCAUAAACAGAUGAAAAUUGGACAAGAACUUUUGAAGUUAUUGGUGUUGGCACAACUUUCUUAUUCUUUUCGUUUGUUUGGCUUUUUAACAGUGCUUCAAUACAUCACGAGUGACAGGCAAGAUCACUAGCACAUGUAUUUUGUGGGUCAGAAGCUCAAUAUUUGGAGUAUGAAUACUGAUGAUAAAUAAGCACCUCCUGUGUCAGUCUGGAGGGAAUUCAAAUUCAAAGUGAAAAAUUGCAGCAAUAAAAGAAUCUUCGGAUCAACUAACUACAAAAACAAAUUUCCAAGUAUUUACCGUUGAAGGGCUCUACAAGGUUAGGUAUUUCUAAUAGCAAUUGUAUGUGUAUUAUUUGCUUAAAUGCUAAGAAAAAAAUAGUAUGUUAAACAGAACACCAUAGUAACACCACCAUACAACAGACUGAGAAGAUUGAGACGGAUAAGAGGAAAGAGGAGGGAAAGAAAAGAACAUUGCUGGAGAUUUCUUUGGGAGCGAGGCCAAUCUGAAGGCUGCAAAGGAAUAAUGGCUGACUUAUGCACUCCUCUACAUACUGUUCUUUAUGGUUUUAUAAAAAUAUACAGAGGAGGAGCCUCAAAACUCAAACUGUUUUUACCCCCGUCUGUGUUUAUUCUAGGCCAGGGAGACACUCCUGAACUCUUUUGGAGUUCAUUACAGUUGGCUUCCAGCCCACGUUUGACACAUGGCUGCAGACAACAUGAGUGCAGUAUUAAAUGUGAAUUGCUAAGAAAAGAUGUGUAUCAUUUUUAUAAACAUUUACAGAGUAAGUGGCCUGCACGGCUCAAUGCACACCUGCAAAAUGUAGCGAGUCUGAUGUUGAUGAUAAAACUCUUGAGAGCUUUCUGUAAACCAGUGAAGUCCUUAAAACGUGUAUAUUGUGUUACUCAGAUGAUCAAAUCUAUAAAACAAAGCUCACUGAGAGAGGACAGUUUCAGACUAAAAUGGAACCAUAGCAUGAGUUUGGAAGCCAUCCUUCACUUUAUUCACAGUCUCUGCUCAGAUAUUUGACUGAAUACGACCUUUCACAUUAACAUCAAGCAGUCAGUCUUAUCAUCUCUAGUCAAGGUUUGCCGUUGAGUGCAGCACAGUGCAACAUUUCCCAUCAGCCUCCAAAAAUGUGCAAACGAUCAAGUUAAGCAAAAUAUACUUAGAAAUAUAAUUCCUAUGUAAAACAAGCUCUUUGUGAUUUCAACAACAUACAAUAUUAGCUAAAUUAUUGACUCUACCUGAAAUUUCUUGCAUUUUGUCGUGUUACUACUAAAAACUUUAAUGUAUAUUGCGGGGAUUUCAUGUGAUAGACACAAGUUAGCACUUAAUUAUCAAGUGGGAAAAAUUAAGAUGCAUGUGUUGAUUUUAAUUUAUUAUUUUUACACGUAAAAGUUUGAAAAGUGUGGUAUGCAUGACUGUUUACUAGCCCCCUCACUACAUUGCCCCAAAAUAAAACACAGUGCAAUAAGCUGGAUAGUAAUAAGAGUCCAGCUGCAUGUACGUCAGUCCAGCUGCUCUGCAAAGACCUCAGAUAUUCUUUAAAGAAAAUUGGUGGUCAUGAAUGAAACUGAAUGUAAAGUUAGAUAAUAAAAUGCUAUCUACACCUGUAAUCUUUAUAUGCUCUCCAUGCUCUAAAUCAUUCUUGAUAAUUUCCCGUCUAAAUGUAAUCAGUGCACAAACGAAUCCGCAGUCAAGAAGUUUUAACAAGUUCCUAUAUCUAGGAACCACAGGGAAGUUUCACUUCACUAUUUUGCAGAUCUGUAUUAUUUAAAGCAUUACCGAGAAACAGGAAAUGUGCUUUUGCAGUUUGACGGGGAAAAACAUAAAAGAAUGUUUCCUAAAUGUUAUUUUUUAUCACGUCUACCAAAUAUAACAAAGAACAGCCUUAUAAUCCUUUUAACAUGAGUCUCUUGGAUUACCAGAUUGCAGCACAACAUCAGUAAUUUCUAUUUCACACAACAGUGGGAGAUCCAGACAGCACAGCUGUCAGUGCCUCAUUUUCAUUGGAGGCUGACGACUAUUCAGUUCAGCCAUUACGCCGAGUAUCAGCUGUCAACAGCAGUACAUUGUACAAAGAAAGUGCAUCCCUUUAAAUUCAAGGGUUUUAAAGAGAUGCUCAACAGUGUAAACUCUUGAGCAAAAAAUAUACUUUAGUAAUAUUAUUAUUAACUUUAAAUAUCUAUGGUUUUUUUAGGCACAUUCAGUCUUUUUCACAAGCUUUUCAGUAAUAGCCAUAUAAGGCAAACUUGUAAUAUUUUAUACCUGGUUCAAUCUAAGUGUGAUUUUCCAUUCUUGAGUUUAGAACUAAACAAUUUUAGAACCUGUUAAAAACCUUUAGACAAUAAAACCAAAGAAUAGAAGGUAGAUGCAGUUUUCAGUUCAGUUCAGUGUCACUAUGUCCCAGAGCAACUGAGGCUACAAUGUAGCUUAGCAUCACCGGUGUGUGGGGGUGUGUAUGAAAGGGUGAAAGACCGACUGCAGAUUAAAGCGCUAUGCAAGUACAGGCCAUUGCCAUUUACCCUAAUGGUAGCUUCAGGCUCUGCUGUUUGAUAUUUUAUUGUGGUUAAAAAAAUUUCUCCAAGAGAACUGUGAACAAGACUGUAAACAUGGAUUUGUUUGACCACUUAUGGUUUCCAAGUCAAAUAAAUAGCGCGUUGUUGCUCUUCUAAGAUCAGACCAAAGAUAAACAGAUGAUUAAUAGUUACUGAAUUUUAUUGUUUCACACCAAGAUUUUUUAUCUGACCACCCAAGAAGUGUUGAGAAAGGAGAACAUUACAAAGGGGAAAGGAAAGUAGAGAAGUAGUCAUGAGGAGGGAAAGAAGGAAGAGACAGAUUAGGAAACAACUCAUGCUGAGAUGGAAAGCAAUAAACAGAAAUUUUAGUACCAUCAUUAAGAUUCAACAAGUGGUCAUAAGUCAAGUUAAACAAAUCCAUUAGCCUGUCUUGCUCUGGUGUGUAGUGUAUAUGUAUAAAUAUAUAAUUUAAAGCAGAGCGGUUUAACAGAGUUAACUUAAAAAAAAUGUUCUAAACUAAAGUGAGAAGGAAAAUUAUACAUGUCAGAAAAACAAAAGCUGAAGAAAACAAGGGGAAAAGCAAUGCAAUGUUCACAAUUAAACAUGCACUUGUAAGAGUUUUGUAGUUUACAGGACAUGAGAGCAGAUAAUCAACCCUAAAAUUAUUUACAUAGCAUACAAGUAUACGCAACACUGUUUGCAAAGUUAGAUGUUUGUACGUUUAUUUUAUUUAAAACAAGAAUAAAAAAAAUAACACCCUAAAUAUACUGUAGAUGACAAUAGUUUACCCAAAAGAUGCUAGCAGCAUAAACCUUCACAUAAAUUAAAAUAACACCUCUUGUGACUAAUUCAGGCUUUUAAAACAAGAACUCAUCUUGAAACUAAAAUUUCCAAACAUAAAAAAAACAAAAGAAUACCCUCUGCUUCAGUUUGUGAACAUUCAAAAAAAAAAAAAAACUCAGUUCUGGAAGGAAUGCGCAUGAUCAUUUUUCAAAUAAAAACACAUUUUUUUCAGCAUGUGACAUUAGAUGCAGAACUGGUGAAACCCUAACAGAGGCACUGAUGAAUCUGAGGGAGUGUGUGAGCAUCAGGUUGGUUUCUAAGAAUCACGCCAAACAUAAGAGGGAAGAGAGAUGAUCCCAGUUAUAGAGCAGAACUGAUCUUAUUUAAUGAUCUCAGGGCCUUAAACCAGAUGCUCUGCUGAGAAUAACUCAUGAAGAAAAGCUGUCCAGCUCUGGCAGGAAAUUCAUCAGCCUUUAGAUAAAAAAAAUAAAAA